rnacentral:rRNA from 1 species
AUGACCGAAACUGAACCAAAUUGCGUGUGCAUGCAUCCAUUGUAUGCAUGUAUCUACGCAUCACAUUUUUCUAACUGGACUGCACCACACUCGUGUAUUGCCAUGAAAAUAAAAUGUUGUGGUCUUGUUUCAUUUCUUAGCUGCUCAAGUGUAACAAUCGACACACUGUCUUUCAAUCUACCAACCAAGAGAUAUUGCUACCUAUCUAUUUGCCACUUGCUUGCAUUCAGAAAUUAUGUUGAUUUCCUCUGCUGCAAAAAAGUCCAUCUUGUGUUAUUACGCUUGAUUUCUUCAUUCAGAGAAAGAACAUUGAGGUGUGGAAAGGUCUAUUCCCAAAUUUGUGUACCAGAGCACAUUCUAAUUAAGACCUUCUUAUGUGGGUGCAAACAUACUGCAAGAACUACCCGUCGUGCGCCAAAUACACAAUGCCGAAGGUAUCGCUGGGAUGAGAGCUGCUUGCAAACUUGCUUCCCGUGUACUGAACUUUGCAGGAACAUUAAUGGAGACAUCAUAAAUAUUGAUGUAAAUGUGUUCCUAAAUGUAAGUUCUCUCUCCUAA